rnacentral:rRNA from 1 species
AGUCGAACGAAUCCCAGUUUUGUAGCAAUACCGAGCUGGGGGAAGUGGCGAAAGGGGCAGUAAUGCGUGGGUAACCUACCCCGGGGACCGGGAUAGCCACCCUAACGGGUGGGUAAUACCGGGCGAUGUAGCGAGAUCUCCUGACCUUGCUAUGAAACGAAUUUCGCCUCGUGAGGGGCUCACGUGGUAUUAGCUAGUUGGUGGGGUAACGGCCUACCAAGGCGAAGAUGCCUAGCAGGUGUGAGAGCACGACCUGCGCCACUGGCACUGAGACACUGGCCAGACUCCUACGGGAGGCUGCAGUCGAGGAUCUUCGGCAAUGGGCGCAAGCCUGACCGAGCGACGCCGCGUGCGCGAUGAAGGCCUUCGGGUUGUAAAGCGCUGUCGAGGGGGAGGAAAGCCGCAAGGUCUGACCUAUCCCUGGAGGAAGCACGGGCUAAGUUCGUGCCAGCAGCCGCGGUAAGACGAACCGUGCAAACGUUGUUCGGAAUCACUGGGCUUAAAGGGCGCGUAGGCGGGUGGUCAAGUCAGGGGUGAAAUCUUUCGGCUCAACCGGAAAACAGCCUCUGAUACUGACCGUCUUGAGCGAGGUAGGGGCAUGUGGAACUUCCGGUGGAGCGGUGAAAUGCGUUGAUAUCGGAAGAACCCGGUGGCGAAAGCGACGUGCUGACCUCUUCUGACGCUGAGGCGCGAAAGCUAGGGGAGCGAACGGGAUAAUACCCCGGUAUCCUAGCCCUAACGAUGGGUACUAGGUAUGGACUUACUGGUUCACUGCCGAACAAAAAGUUAACCCCCUGGGGAUAUGGCAAGCUCUC